rnacentral:rRNA from 1 species
UACGGGGGAGCAAGCGUUGUUCGGAUUUACUGGGCGUAAAGGGCGCGUAGGCGGUCAGCACAAGUCAGUUGUGAAAUCUCCGGGCUUAACCCGGAAAGGUCAACUGAUACUGUGCGACUAGAGUGCAGAAGGGGCAACUGGAAUUCUCGGUGUAGCGGUGAAAUGCGUAGAUAUCGAGAGGAACACCUGCGGCGAAGGCGGGUUGCUGGGCUGACACUGACGCUGAUGCGCGAAAGCCAGGGGAGCGAACGGG